rnacentral:rRNA from 1 species
AUGGCGGAGGCGGCACGGAAGCCCCGCCCUGUCCGCUGCAUCGUUAAGCUAGGCGGAGCGGCCAUCACGAACAAGGGGGAGCUGGAGAGCAUCGACGAGGAGAGCCUGCGGUCGGCGUGCGCGCAGCUGCGGCAGGCCAUGUCCGACGGCGCCGCCCCGGAGAAGGCUAGGGGGAUGGACUGGAGCAGGAGGCCCGGCGAUCCGGCCGACCCGGUCGUGGACGCGGAGGGGUUCGCGGGUAUGGCGGGGCUGGGUCUCGACAGCAACUUCGUCGUCGUCCACGGCGCAGGUUCUUUUGGCCACUUCCAAGCAAGUAGAUCUGGAGUACAUAAAGGAGGGUUGCAUUCAACGCUGGUGAAGGCUGGCUUUGUGGCUACAAGAAUUUCAGUGACUUCUCUCAACCAGGAAAUUGUUAGAGCCUUGGCAAGAGAAGGAAUACCGUCUGUUGGGAUGUCACCAUUUGCUUGUGGAUGGUCUACUCAGCGAAGAAAUCUUGCAUCAGCCAAUGCUUCUCAAAUCAUUGAGUCGCUCCAUGCUGGCUUUGUCCCUGUUUUGCACGGAGAUGCUGUUCUUGAUGAAUCGCUGGACUGCACCAUAUUGAGUGGGGAUGUCAUUAUACGCCACCUUGCACAGCUUUUGACUCCAAAAUAUGUCGUGUUUCUGACAGAUGUUCAUGGAGUAUAUGACCGUCCUCCAACUGACCCCAAUGCAGUACUUCUCAAAGAGAUAGAGGUAGAUGACAACGGAGGCUGGUCGAUUGUAAAACCUGCAUUACAAGGCAACAGAAAAGGAGUGGAGAUAUCAGUAGCCGCACACGACACUACUGGAGGAAUGGAGACCAAAAUACUGGAAGCUGCCGUGAUAGCUAGGCUUGGAGUUGAUGUGUACAUUACAAAGGUUGAUACUGAGCACUCCCUGAGAGCCUUGAAGGGGGAUGUGAACACAAGCUCGGACGAUUGGCUUGGAACUGUUAUACGCGCUGCCAAAUAG